CGUCGCCGCCCUCGUCUACGGCGCCAGCGCCACCUUGCUGGGCGCCUGCGUGGACGGCGUCGUCCUGCAGGACAAGUUCGGUGACGCUCUGGGCGUCCCCGUCCUCGGUGUCCUCUCGUGGCCGGUGCCACCGGUGGCCGUGGCCGGGGCCUCCG